rnacentral:rRNA from 1 species
GAUGAACGCUGGCGGCGUGCCUAAUACAUGCAAGUCGUACGGAAAGGCCCUUCGGGGUACUCGAGUGGCGGACGGCUGAGUAACGCGUGGGAACGUGCCCCAAAGUGAGGGAUAACGCACCGAAAGGUGUGCUAAUACCGCAUAUGGUCUUCGGAUUAAAGCUUCGGCGCUUUGGGAGCGGCCCGCGUACGAUUAGAUAGUUGGUGAGGUAAUGGCUCACCAAGUCGACGAUCGUUAGCUGGUCUGAGAGGAUGAUCAGCCAGACUGGGACUGAGACACGGCCCAGACUCCUACGGGAGGCAGCAGUAAGGAAUCUUCCACAAUGGGGGCAACGCUGAUGGAGCAACGCCGCGUGCAGGAUGAAGGUUUUCGGGUCGUAAACUGCUUUUAUAAGUGAAGAAUAUGACGGUAACUUAUGAAUAAGGAUCGGCUAACUACGUGCCAGCCGCCGCCGUAACAC